rnacentral:rRNA from 1 species
UCCAGACUCCUACGGGAGGCAGCAGUGGGGAAUAUUGCACAAUGGGGGAAACCCUGAUGCAGCGACGCCGCGUGAGUGAAGAAGUAUUUCGGUAUGUAAAGCUCUAUCAGCAGGGAAGAGAAUGACGGUACCUGAGUAAGAAGCCCCGGCUAACUACGUGCCAGCAGCCGCGGUAAUACGUAGGGGGCAAGCGUUAUCCGGAUUUACUGGGUGUAAAGGGAGCGUAGACGGCGAAGAAAGUCUGAAGUGAAAGACCGCGGCUCAACCGCGGAACUGCUUUGGAAACUUUUUUGCUGGAGUACCGGAGAGGUAAGCGGAAUUCCUAGUGUAGCGGUGAAAUGCGUAGAUAUUAGGAGGAACACCAGUGGCGAAGGCGGCUUACUGGACUGUAACUGACGUUGAGGCUCGAAAGCGUGGGGAGCAAACAGGAUUAGAUACCCCAGUACC